UUGAUUCUAAUUUUGUAGUGUGUUUAAUGGCUGCAUCAUCUCAAAGCUGUGGUGUUUGUGACCUCCGUCACAUCACAAAACCAUGCAUAGUCUGGUGUACAGAAUGUGACGAGGGACUAUGUUCAGAAUGCAAGGAACAUCAUAGUUUGUCUAAGUCAUCGAGAAGCCACAGUGUGAUACCUAUUGCCGAAUACCAGAAACUGCCAGCUGUAUUGAAAAUUACUCAGUAUUGUACCAGUCACGAUAAAAAAUAUCAAUUCUAUUGCCAGAAGCAUGAAUGUCCCUGCUGCAGCACAUGUAUCGUGGAAUGUCACAAAGAGUGCCGGGAAAUUGUCGAAUUAGAGAAUAUCAUUCGUAACGCCAAAUCCUCUAAUGCUAUGUGCGAGAUAGAGGAAUCAUUAGUUGAGAUAGCAGAAAAUCUAAAGAAGAUUCGCCAGCAUCAACAAGACAAUCUGUUGACUUUUAAAAAAAAAGAAAAGAAAUCGAAAAAGAACUAAAGAAAACUAGAAUGAAGACCAACAACCACCUCGACAAACUACAAGAAAAUUUAAUGAAACAACUCAACGAGCUCGAAGAAAAAGAAAACUCUAAAAUUUGUCAGUUAAUGUCCUCGCUAGAAAAGAAAGAAAAAGAAAUAGAAGAAUGCCAAAAUAGCCUAUUGAACAUCAAGAAACACGCAACAGAUCUUCAAAUGUUUCUCUCAAUUAAGCAAAUAGAAGAGGACGUUUAUAGCAAAGAAAAAAAAUUGCAGGCUCUUGUGGAAGGCAAGGAACAGCAUACUCUUUCAUAUCAGAUCAACACCUCUAUCCAGAAUAUCAUAUCCGAUAUCAGAAGUUUUGGGGAAGUACGUAUUGAAUCUAAGCCAUGCGACAUAGUUCUGAGCAAGAAGAAGACCAGACAAGCCCAAUUGAUGGUUCCAAUCGUUCCAACAAAAUCCAUAGAAAAUAUAAAGCUAACGAUACACAAGACCAUCGACACUCAAGGAAAUACUAUUUACGGAUGUUGCAUGCUGCCAGAUGAUAGAUUGGUAUUUACUUACUACUUUGACAAAAGAAUAAAAAUAUUUAGCAAUGCAGGAUCAACAGACUUUGAGGUCCAGAUGCCGUGUAAGACCGUUUGAUAUAGUAUACAUCAGUGAAGACAAUUUAUUGGCUGUAUCAUCUGGUGGUUCAGAAAAGCAUAAGUGUAUUACCAUUAUAGAUAUCAAGACGAAACAAAUUAAGAAAACAAUUUCACUAGAUUCUUUUGUUGAUGGCAUAGCACUAAAAGAUAAUCGAUUGAUUUAUUCUGGAGAGAGACAAAGGGAUACUAAUGAUCAAUAUAGACGACGAGUCUAUAAGUGACAUAGUCCGAGAAGCAAUGCCCAGUGUAUGCUACACUGCAACUUUUAGGGACAACGUAUAUCAUACAAAUAGCGAUACACACACUGUUUUUUGUUAUAAUCUGCAAGGUGAACUACAAUGGACAUUCCACAACGAGAGCGUUCUGAAGAUGCCUUAUGGUAUAGACGUAGAUAGUGAAGGUAAUGUGUUCGUGGUUGGAUGCCUUUCGAACAAUGUUAUAGUUAUCUCCCUUGAUGGACAAAGACAUAGGGAAAUAUUGACAAAAAGUGAUGGUCUUAGUGCUCCUGUAUCACUUCAUUAUAGUGGACCAAACAAUCAGUUGUUAGUCGCUAACUUCGACAACAAAAAGGCUUUUUUGUUUAAUUUUAUUUGAACAAAAUAAAUGUUAAAACUUCUCUCUAUCUUUAGAUCAGUGUGUGAACUGAUACAGAAAAGAGAUAAUAGACAAUAGUUAUUUGUAAAAAAAAAGAAAGAUUUACAAUAAAUGGUUAAGGCAAAGGAGAACUUUUAAAAUUACAACAUCCAAAAUGGACUGCAUGUAACUACUAAUCAUAGUUUCUUAUAAAACAAUAGUGAUCUAUUACAGUACAUCAUGUACAAUAAAAUAUUAU
rnacentral:lncRNA from 1 species